CCGAAAAUAGCUCAGCGGUAGAGCGGGAGACUGUAGUUGCGUUACAAGCCUAGCUUGUAUUAAGUUGUUAUCUCUAGGUCCCUGGUUCAAAUCCGGGUUUUCGGA
rnacentral:tRNA from 1 species